CACCGCCCGUCACACUAUGGGAACUGGCCAUGCCCGAAGUCGUUACCUUAACCGCAAGGAGGGGGAUGCCGAAGGCAGGGCUAGUGACUGGAGUGAAGUCGUAACAAGGUAGCCAUACUGGAAGGUGCGGCUG
rnacentral:ncRNA from 1 species